rnacentral:rRNA from 1 species
AUGGAGCGCGGGAAGCUGCCGCAGCACAACCCUGGGAAGUUGGAGCCUAGCUGUCGUGGAGGAGCAGGGGGAAGGAGAGAGGGAGGUACUGAGAAGAGGGCGGCGGAGAUAUUUUGCCAGUCCCGCCACCAGCAAGGUUUCGCCGGUGAUGUCGGAACCGUUCGUCGGCGCCGUUCGAGCCGGAGGGUUGUGGAUUCUUGGGGGCAGAGAUCAUCGAGUGGAUGCUAUGAACCCAACUACGACCCUAAUGACAGUCCCCCAAACACUGAGAGUUGUGAUGAGAGCAUUGCAUAUAGUGAUGAAGAAUCUGUAUCUAAGAGGAAGAAGUUAUUAGAAGAUGCUUUAUUUGUUUUUUUAGGAAGGAGGCAAUCAAAUCACUCGAGAUUUUCCAAAAUUCUGGAAGAAUGUCGACCUUAA